GACGAACGCUGGCGGCGUGCUUAACACAUGCAAGUCGAACGGUAAGGCUCCAGCUUGCUGGGGUACACGAGUGGCGAACGGGUGAGUAACACGUGGGUGACCUGCCCUGCACUUCGGGAUAAGCCUGGGAAACUGGGUCUAAUACCGGAUAGGACCGCACCGUGAGGGUGUGGUGGAAAGUUUUCUCGGUGUGGGAUGGGCCCGCGGCCUAUCAGCUUGUUGGUGGGGUAAUGGCCUACCAAGGCGGCGACAGGUAGCCGGCCUGAGAGGGUGGACGGCCACAUUGGGACUGAGACACGGCCCAGACUCCUACGGGAGGCAGCAGUGGGGAAUAUUGCACAAUGGGCGGAAGCCUGAUGCAGCGACGCCGCGUGGGGGAUGACGGCCUUCGGGUUGUAAACUCCUUUCACCAUCGACGAAGGGUUUCUGACGGUAGAUGGAGAAGAAGCACCGGCUAACUACGUG
rnacentral:rRNA from 1 species